rnacentral:lncRNA from 1 species
AAACUCAGUUGUUCCAGAGAUCUUUUAAAUGAUUUUGUGGAAAAACAACAGCACAACAACCUUUUUGAAAGUAAUUAAGAGGCAAGCAACUACCCAAAGAAAAUACAAACUUCAAGGUUCUUCGCUACGGAAGAAAAAGUUAUUACUCUUCUGUGCUAUCACUGAGAAAGGAUUAAUUCUACAUCCUGAGAAGCUUCUCCAUAUGCUUGUGAUGAGUAUGAACCCCCAGUCUUCUGAACAGCCUAUGUUUAUGAUAAUCCCUACAGAAUCCAUGAGCUGUGGUAGGCCUUAA